AGAGUUUGAUCCUGGCUCAGAUUGAACGCUGGCGGCAUGCUUUACACAUGCAAGUCGAACGGCAGCGCGGGGCAACCUGGCGGCGAGUGGCGAACGGGUGAGUAAUAUAUCGGAACGUACCCAAGAGUGGGGGAUAACGUAGCGAAAGUUACGCUAAUACCGCAUACGAUCUAAGGAUGAAAGCAGGGGAUCUUCGGACCUUGUGCUCCUGGAGCGGCCGAUAUCUGAUUAGCUAGUUGGUGAGGUAAAGGCUCACCAAGGCCACGAUCAGUAGCUGGUCUGAGAGGACGACCAGCCACACUGGAACUGAGACACGGUCCAGACUCCUACGGGAGGCAGCAGUGGGGAAUUUUGGACAAUGGGCGAAAGCCUG
rnacentral:rRNA from 1 species